UCUCCGUUGGUGAACCAGCGGAGGGAUCAUUACCGAAGUUACCUUCAAAACCCACUGUGAACAUUACCUCUUGCCGCGUUGUCUCGGCGGGAGGCGGUGUGCGUCGCGCGCCCUAGCGGGCCGCGCCGCUCCCGUCCCCGCCGGCAGCGCCAAACUCUAAAUGCACAGCGGACUGUACGUUCUGAUUUACAAAAAAAACAAGUUAAAACUUUCAACAACGGAUCUCUUGGUUCUG
rnacentral:misc_RNA from 1 species